rnacentral:lncRNA from 1 species
UUUCGAUAAAGAUUAGCAUAACUCUUUUGUCGAUCUUGUGAGGUUUUUAUACGUUAUCGGAUCAUUUAAAUCUUUUCUGUAGUCAUACGUACCAACUCCGGUCCCAACAACGUUGCUUCACCCACCUCAUCCUAGCAUACUGGAGAAUGACACUUUCUUCCAUACAAUGCCUGAAAUGGAGCCAUGCCAAUACUUACUUGAUAACUAUUGUUGUAGGAAAACUCCACCAAUGGUAAGAAAUUG